rnacentral:rRNA from 1 species
AACGAACGCUGGCGGCAUGCCUAACACAUGCAAGUCGAACGAGACCUUCGGGUCUAGUGGCGCACGGGUGCGUAACGCGUGGGAACCUGCCCUUAGGUUCGGAAUAACUCCCCGAAAGGGGUGCUAAUACCGGAUAAUGUCUUCGGACCAAAGAUUUAUCGCCUUUGGAUGGGCCCGCGUUGGAUUAGCUAGUUGGUAGGGUAAAAGCCCACCAAGGCGACGAUCCAUAGCUGGUCUGAGAGGAUGAUCAGCCACACUGGGACUGAGACACGGUCCAGACUCCUACGGGAGGCAGCAGUGGGGAAUAUUGGACAAUGGGCGAAAGCCUGAUCCAGCAAUGCCGCGUGAGUGAUGAAGGCCUUAGGGUUGUAAAGCUCUUUUACCCGGGAUGAUAAUGACAGUACCGGGAGAAUAAGCUCCGGCUAACUCCGUG